rnacentral:rRNA from 1 species
UAUUAUUAUUAUUAUUAUUAUUAUUAUUAUUAUUAUACUUAAUUUUAAUUAAUAUCUUAACAUAAGUCGAAAUAAAUAAAUUUAACCUUGAUUUGAAGGUCUCAAAUUUCGGUCAUAUUUAUCCAAUAAUUUAUUGAGAUGAAUUGAAAUGUUGUUCAAAGUUUUGUUAACACAUUGGUAAGUGCCAAAUACCUUCAACAAAAAAUAUAUAAUAAAAAUUUGCAUCUUUUGAGUACUUUGAAAAAUUACUUCUAUUAUUUUAAAUUAUUACCAAUCAAAUUGAGGCUUGAUAACAUCAACCAAUUAAAACAAACAACUAUUUUUAUCUAAAUACUGACAAAUGUUACUUUUAAAAUUUAUUGAAGUACAAUAGAUAUUUUAAAAUUUACAAUUAACUUUUAAAUAACCUAUUUACACCUGAUUUUGUUUUUUAUUCUGAAGAUACGUCUAAGUCUGAAUCUCGCCUAAAAAUCAUGAUAUUUUGUGCCAUCCUCGUAAUGAGGCAAUAUUAUUAUAUAUUAAUGCAAGUUAAUGGAUGUGGCUUAGCCAUAUAUUUAAACUCUAACCAGGCUAUGAAAAUAGUUUGGAUGUUUGAAUCAUUUUUAAUGAUUUACGUGUUGGCAUUAAAUCGUUUGUAGACGACUUACUUUACGGUCGGGGAAGCGUAAGAAUUCGAGCAGUUUAUACUGCGAGGUUUUGAACUUCAUCCCCAUCUGACGCGAUGAUUUGGAUCUUUAUGAUUCAUUCGUUGUGUUAUUAACAAUUACUUUAAAUUUCUAGAUUGAAAUUUAAUUAACUAUUUGCCUGCAUAAUUCAGUUUAUCUGUUUUAUGUAGGCAUUUUUGCUAAGAAAAUUUUCAUAGCUAUUUUUAACAAGUUGAAAUUUCUGCUGUUAACUGUUUAGUUUUAUUAACCACAGCAAGCUAAUUACCCCUGUGGUAACUUGGUUCGUGUUUAGUUAUUACUAGUUAAUAAGCGUUUAGUAUAUACUAAAGCGUAUAUACAUUGUACUUACGAAUGAAAAAUUUUGAAUUUGUUAACGGCGGUAGUAAAAAAAUAUGAGGUAAACUUGUUGAUAACUAAAAAUUAAUUUGCCUGCUUAUUACAGUUAAAGCUGUGGUAUGCAGGCUAUAUUCAUAAGAAAAUUUUCUAAGAAUUUUAAAUGGACCAUCCGGUGUAUUUUUAUAUAUGUAAAAUUUACUCAUAUGUAUCUAAAUGGAAAAAAUUUUCUAAGUAAAUAUUUUUUGAAAAUUUUUAAGAUGANCAUUUUUAAUGAUUUACGUGUUGGCAUUAAAUCGUUUGUAGACAACUUACUUUACGGUCGGAAGCGUAAGAAUUCGAACAGUUUAUACUGCGAGGUUUUGAACUUCAUCCCCAUCUGACGUGCAAAUAAAAUAUUUCAAAACCUCAUUAUAUGGCUAAAAAUGUUUUCCGUUGACACAAAAAACCAUCUAUAUAUUAUUUACGCACAAAAAUUUUAUUUUUAUAUGCUUCUAUGAUGUUGCACGAAGUACGUUUUUUAAUUUCUUUCCCCUAUGCGUGCUUACGAAAGAGCUUCUUGCAUUCUGUACAUGUUCUCUUUUGAAUGUCAGCUUUAAACACUGACUGGUGAUACAUGCCAAAAGGAAGAUUCAUAGCACCUUGUAUAUUUCACUGGGUUCUGAAAUAUACAGACAAUAACAAAACUGGCCUAUAAAAAACAUUGUGGGAAACGUAAAAUGGACGAGAACAGUUAAUACUUUUCUAUUUUCAUAAAGUACCGAUUCUGUCUAAUAUGAUUUGAUACUUAAUUUGCACUGGGUUCAUUUCGUGUUAUUGGUUGGUUGUAUAUAUUCCUCAAAAACUUAGUGAUUGUCGUGAUUAUCAAUUAAUACCCAUUUCUGUUAUAUGGGCUGCUUUUAUAAAAUUCUUCUUUUCUUUCUCAGUGUCCGUUGUGUUAGGCUAGCACUGAGUUUUGUUUAAAUGAAUUGGAAACAGCACGCAAACAUAACACGCAGAUUUAAAAAUCAGACGCAUAAAACAUCAAGUAAACACCUUAAAAUGCGAGAAAGAUAUAAUUAAAAAUAUAAAAUAAAAAAAACAUAAAAAAAAAUUAAAAUAAUAACAAAAUGCAUCAAGAUCCGCACGAAAAUAACAUAAAAAUAGCAAAAUAACAUAAAAUUUGGCCGAAAAUUGACAAUUCACGUAAAAGCAAAGAAAAAAUGGAACAAGUUGAAUUAAAAUAAAAUAAUUUUGGUUAGAAAUAAUUUAAUUAAAACUUUAAUGAAAAAAUUGUCAAAUUAAAUCAAGAAAAUAAUAAAAAUUAGAGUUAGAUUAUACAAAUAAUUUCAAGGUCAAAUUUUGUUUUAUNUUGAGUUGUAAAAUUUUCGGAUGGUCAACGCCAUCAAAUUUUAGUCUUUGAUCUUGCCAUCGUUGGCGAAAGUAGCAAUCAAAUGAAUAAACCUAAGCAUAUUUAAAAAUUCUGACUUCCAGUUAGAAUAAGAUAACUAACCAUAUUCAUU